rnacentral:rRNA from 1 species
UGGGGAAUAUUGCACAAUGGGCGCAAGCCUGAUGCAGCCAUGCCGCGUGUGUGAAGAAGGCCUUCGGGUUGUAAAGCACUUUCAGCGGGGAGGAAGGCGGUGAGGUUAAUAACCUCAUCGAUUGACGUUACCCGCAGAAGAAGCACCGGCUAACUCCGUGCCAGCAGCCGCGGUAAUACGGAGGGUGCAAGCGUUAAUCGGAAUUACUGGGCGUAAAGCGCACGCAGGCGGUCUGUCAAGUCGGAUGUGAAAUCCCCGGGCUCAACCUGGGAACUGCAUUCGAAACUGGCAGGCUAGAGUCUUGUAGAGGGGGGUAGAAUUCCAGGUGUAGUGGUGAAAUGCGUAGAGAUCUGGAGGAAUACCGGUGGCGAAGGCGGCCCCCUGGACAAAGACUGACGCUCAGGUGCGAAAGCGUGGGGAGCAAACAGG